GGCCCCUUAGUCUAGUGGUUAGGACAGCCGGUUUUGACACAAUGUGAAAGGGGGCUUGUUUUUGCUCCUAUCAACACUUUCUCCAUCCGGCUAGCGCAGGUUCGAAUCCUGCAGGGGCCU
rfam:Talaromyces marneffei PM1 scf024, whole genome shotgun sequence.